GGCACUAUGGCGGAGUGGUUAACGCGAUGCCCUGCUAUUUUAUCCAAAUUGCAGACUCUCUUCUCUUUCAAGAGUUGAAGCUAGUUUAGGCAUUUCCUUCGGGAGCGCAGGUUCGAAUCCUGCUGGUGUCG
rnacentral:tRNA from 1 species